UCGAGAAUCUUCGGCAAUGGGCGAAAGCCUGACCGAGCGACGCCGCGUGUGGGAUGAAGGCCCUUGGGUUGUAAACCACUGUCAGAGGGGAUGAAGUGCACGUGAGCAAUCUCAUGUGUUUGACAUAGCCUCAGAGGAAGCACGGGCUAAGUUCGUGCCAGCAGCCGCGGUAAUACGAACUGUGCAAACGUUAUUCGGAAUCACUGGGCUUACAGGGUGCGUAGGCGGCUUGUUAAGCAGGGUGUGAAAUCCCUCGGCUCAACCGAGGAAUUGCGCCCUGAACUGGCGAGCUGGAGUGGGAUAGAGGUGUACGGAACUUCCGGUGGAGCGGUGAAAUGUGUUGAUAUCGGAAGGAACGCCUGAGGCGAAAGCGGUACACUGGGUCUCAACUGACGCUGAGGCACGAAAGCCAGGGGAGCGAACG
rnacentral:rRNA from 1 species